rnacentral:rRNA from 1 species
CCCUUAGAUGUUCUGGGCUGCACGCGCGCUACACUGAAGCGUUCAACGAGUAUUUCACCUUGCCCGGGAGGGUUGGGUAAUCUUUUUAAAACGCUUCGUGAUGGGGAUAGAUUAUUGCAAUUAUUAAUCUUCAACGAGGAAUUCCUAGUAAGCGCGAGUCAUCAGCUCGUGCUGAUUACGUCCCUGCCCUUUGUACACACCGCCCGUCGCUACUACUGAUUGGAUGUUUAAGCGAGGUUCUCGAACUGCUAGUGACUGAUCUUCGGUGAGGUCGCAGUGUGGGAAGUGAACCUAGCUUUGGUGUCUAGAGGAAGUAAAAGUCGUAACA